GUACACUCCUGCGGGAGGCAGCAGUGGGGAAUAUUGGACAAUGGGCGCAAGCCUGAUCCAGCCAUGCCGCGUGAGUGAUGAAGGCCCUAGGGUUGUAAAGCCCUUUCACCGGUGAAGAUAAUGACGGUAACCGGAGAAGAAGCCCCGGCUAACUUCGUGCCAGCAGCCGCGGUAAUACGAAGGGGGCUAGCGUUGUUCGGAUUUACUGGGCGUAAAGCGCACGUAGGCGGACUAUUAAGUCAGGGGUGAAAUCCCGGGGCUCAACCCCGGAACUGCCUUUGAUACUGGUAGUCUUGAGUUCGAGAGAGGUGAGUGGAAUUCCGAGUGUAGAGGUGAAAUUCGUAGAUAUUCGGAGGAACACCAGUGGCGAAGGCGGCUCACUGGCUCGAUACUGACGCUGAGGUGCGAAAGCGUGGGGAGCAAACAGGAUUAGAAACCCUGGUAGUCCCA
rnacentral:rRNA from 1 species